rnacentral:rRNA from 1 species
UACGGAAGGCAGCAGUGGGGAAUAUUGCACAAUGGGCGAAAGCCUGAUGCAGCUAUGCCGCGUGUAUGAAGAAGGCCUUAGGGUUGUAAAGUACUUUCAUCGGGGAGGAAAAAACAAAACUAAUAAUUUUAUUUCUUGACGUUACCCGAAAAAGAAGCACCGGCUAACUCCGUGCCAGCAGCCGCGGUAAUACGGAGGGUGCUAGCGUUAAUCAGAAUUACUGGGCGUAAAGAGCACGUAGGUGGUUUUUUUAAAGUCAGAUGUGAAAUCCCUGGGCUUAACCUGGAACUGCAUUUUGAAACUGAAAUACUAGAGUAUCGUAGAGGGAGGUAGAAUUCUAGGUGUAGCGGUGAAAUGCGUAGAUAUCUGGAGGAAUACCUGUGGCGAAAGCGGCCUCCUAAACGAAUACUGACACUGAGGGUGCGAAAGCGUGGGGAGCAAACAGGGAUUUAGAUACC